rnacentral:rRNA from 1 species
UACGUAGGGCGCAAGCGUUAUCCGGAAUUAUUGGGCGUAAAGAGCUCGUAGGCGGUUUGUCGCGUCUGCUGUGAAAAUCCAGGGCUUAACCCUGGACCUGCAGUGGGUACGGGCAGACUAGAGUGCGGUAGGGGAGAUCGGAAUUCCUGGUGUAGCGGUGAAAUGCGCAGAUAUCAGGAGGAACACCGGUGGCGAAGGCGGGUCUCUGGGCCGAUACUGACGCUGAGGAGCGAAAGCGUGGGGAGCGAACAGG